UAUUAAAUUUCUAGUUCAUAUUUUUCGCUACUCAUUUCAUAAACUAUGGAUAGUUAUUACAUGUAUUGCAAUAUCACCAUUAGAGCCUAGUGGGAAACUGAUAUCAAUAAUAAUAAUUUUUUUAUACAACAUUUCUAGUGCACCACAGACCCAGUGAAUCCUAGCAUAAAGAAGGGUACAAACAGUUGGCUCCAGGGGCCCCAGUAGUAGUAGACGCUCUAUGGCUUCAUGGAACACUUUCAUCAGUCCGUGGAAAGGACAGGGCAGGAUCAAAAAAGAAGCCACAAAAGCCAGAAACCAUAAUCAAACAUCUAAUGGAUGGUUUCUUUACCAUCAAAGACCUAGUAGGAAAGGGGGGAACCAGCAGGUUUUUGGACAGCCCAGUAUACACCUCCCUUAAAUUGUAUGCCGAAGUGGUUUUGAAAAUGUGCUCAGCGUCAUUUAAUUCCGCAUGGAAUGAAAAGUUGUCCUCUGCAAGAAGGACACAGAAGAGACUCGCUGCUCAAGAACCAUCCGAAGGACCAUCUGUUGGACAAUAAUUUUUAAAGGACUAUUGUCAAAUAUAAUUGUGUUGAUAUAUGUUGUAAUUAAUCCUUAGAAAAUUUCUGUUUAAUGUUUAUUUUCCUUCAGGAAGCAAUCCUUCUAUAGGAGGACCACUGAUUAUCACUUUUACUGUGUGGAUUGUUUUGUUUAAUAAUUUUUUUCCUUCUGUAGAAUUAUUUGAUUUUUUGUUAAAUACCAAAUUCAUUUGGUUUUGAAAUACAUGUACUUUAUAUUUGAACUUAUAUGAUUCAUGUAUGUAUUUUUUGCUAGAAAAGUUAAAAUGACAGAAGAAAUUAUAAUUUGAAUUCCUGAAAGACUUGCAUUGUUGUAAUUCAUAUUUUAUUUGCAUAAUGAUAUAGUUCACUUGACAUACAUCUACAUUAUUUUUCAUAUUUGGAAAUUGAAAUUAUAUAUCAAAUAUUAAAGGGAUGUUUUGAUUCAAUUUUUUAAGUCUUCAGUUUGUGUAAGAAACUAAUGUAUAAUUGUUCUAUGAGUUGUUAGCUUUAACAGAUCAUACCAGGAUCAUGAUUUUUAAAAUGAGUUAUUAGCUUUAACAGAUCAUAUCAGGAUCAUGGUUUUGUUGCAAGUUGUUCUUUUACAUCAUGAUUAUGCAAUUUCCUGAGUUUUCCUCCGAUUAAGACAACAACAGCAUCGUUCCACACCUGGCACUGACAGACGACGCGACAUGUCAAAUGACAAUAAUACUGUCGCACACGAAGAAAAUGCAAGUGAAAUGUACACCAUCUGUUCUUUUGGGAAUAGUAAAUCUUUAAUUAUUAUCUUCCGUAAGGCCAAUACAACUCCUGUAUAUACUCUAUAAAAUCGUAGGCCUGCAAAAUAUUUGUGUACACAUGUAUAACCUACAUGUACGUAGCUUAUACGUCAGGACUCUUUCCUAGUCAGUGCAGUGUAA